UGAUAGGCUGGGUGUGUAAGCGUAGCGAUACGUUGAGCUAACCAGUACUAAUGAACCGUGAGGCUUAACCUU
rnacentral:rRNA from 1 species